CAGUCGCCACGGGAAUACGUAGGGUGCAAGCGUUAAUCGGAAUUACUGGGCGUAAAGCGCACGUAGGCGGUUUGUUAAGUCUGCUGUGAAAUCCCCGGGCUCAACCUGGGAAUGGCAGUGGAUACUGGCAAGCUAGAGUGUGUCAGAGGAUGGUGGAAUUCCCGGUGUGGCGGUGAAAUGCGUAGAGAUCGGGAGGAACAUCAGUGGCGAAGGCGGCCAUCUGGGACAACACUGACGCUGAGGCACGAAAGCGUGGGGAGCAAACAGGGUUAGAUACCCCCGUAGUCCCUGUCUCUUAUAC
rnacentral:rRNA from 1 species